rnacentral:lncRNA from 1 species
AUGAAACUUGGCUGGGGCAGGAUGCCUGCCAGGAUGAAACUGGCCUUCAUCUUUGCUGUGGCUUUGCUUCUUCCAGAUGUGACAUCCAUGAGCAUCUACAGGUCUGUGGAGACAGUUGGCACCACAUCUGCCAGUGUGACAAGUGCACCAAAGGAAACCAAUGUAGAAACUGAAGGAGAUUCCAGCGAGCUGGGGUUGACUCCACUUGAUGAUUCACCAGAAUUUUUUGCCUCUGUUUUGCCAGCCACAGAAGAAGCAGGUACGACCUUACUAAACAUUGGAAAAGAGGAAACCAAUGAGGAGACAGGAACAAAUUUAAAAGAGAUUCCAGAGGAAAGUGAUGAUAUGGAAGUGGAUACUGCUGAAGACGUAAACCCAGAUGGUUUGGAUGAACUAGAAGAACUAGAGGAUGCUGCCCUUGACCUGGUGAGACUCUUUGUCAAGAGAGAUGCUGAAGAAGAAGAUGAGGAGGAGGCAGAGGAACCUACACCGGAGACCGUUGAUGAGGACGAUUUUUCAUUUUCUGACUUGCCCAGAGUCCUGAAGCCCUUGAUAAAAGCUUUUUCCAGCUCAGAGUCUGGGCCUCCAUCACCAGAUGAUUUCUUCUCCUGGUUGCCUGCUCUGAAGGACCUCCUAGAAUCCUCUAAGGAGCUUAGUGCAAGCAAACCAAUAGCAAACACUGUGACCCGCCCAGCAGGAAUGUCUAGUUCCACCAACUAUCCCCCUGCCUCCUCAACCUAG